GCUGCUUCUUGCUCCUGUCUCAGAAUAAAAAAGGAGUACUGCUUUCCUGGGGUAUGCCAUUUGAGAAAGAAAGUAACCUAACACUAACUGCAGGCGGGGUCAGAGUGAUGUAACAGGAAGCUCUGAUGUUUCCCUUCUGCUGCUGAGCACAUACAAUGUGACAACUCUUCCAGUCCACUCAGAACAACAGUCUCUCCAGCAGAGUGUCACCUCCUGCCUUAGGAUCACCAAGCUCUGCUAACUGGACCUCACUCUGCCUCCAGGAUCAUAUUGCAAGGCUUUCACCCUUCCCCACCUUGCCUGGGGGUACAUUUCCUCUGCGGAAUCUCAGAAAAUCAAAUUCCAUCCUAAGAAUAGUUCACCAAGAAUUUCCUUAGGAGCUGUUCUGGGGUCCUACGAUGAUACACCAACCACUUGUGCUACCACCAGUCAAAACUAUGGAUGGCCCCACCUUCAGGUCAUGACCUCCAGAUUUAAGACAUUCUUCAAGACAAUUUUGAAUAGGAUCCAAGAGAAAAUGUGAUUUGAGUCUGGAGACAAUUGUGAUUGUAAGUAUCAGAAAAUUAGAUUUUUCUCAUG
rnacentral:lncRNA from 1 species